CCCAGAUCACAGCUAAAUAUCCGAUCACUACUGUGGCUGGUGUGUUGGGCCAAGACAAGAGUACAGAACCUUACCAUAUGACAUGGACCACUCCGGCACGUCAGAAGCCACGCAGCCAGCCGUCAGCGACGACGGAAGUGGGUCCAGGGUCCGAGGCACUGGCGAGACCUUUUAAUGGAUGCUGGCUGUGCACCGCAGGACGUUGGACUGAUCCCAGGAGGCCCUACACUUCCAAGACUUACCUAUUCAUCCAUCUAAAGACCCAUGAUGAACUGCUUUUUUAUUUCAAUUUAGGACUCUGUUUUCGUUGCUCUUCUGCUUUUGUUUUCUGUUUGUAAGAAAAUUCCUGUGAAAUUUGUAAAAAAGUCAUAACUGUUAGAAGUGGCCUCCCCUAGAGUGGGUCACCCCUUUGAGUCUGGUCUGCUUGAGGUUUCUUCCUCAUUAUCAUCAGACAGUGUUUUUCCUUGCCACUGUCACCUGUGUGCUUGCUCAUGGGGGUUGGUAAGGUUAGGCCUUACUUGUGUGAAGCGCCUUGAGGAAGCCAUGUGAUUUGGUUAUAUAUAAAUAAAAUUAAUUGAAUUACACAGAUUUAAUUCAACUGAUGAGAUAAAAUUAUAUUUUUGGAUAUACAAUUACAAUUCUGACUCAUAAAAAGAGUUGCCUUCAUUUUGCAAUUACACCUUUUUCAAUGUGUUUUGUAGUAAUCAAGACAAUUUCUUUGAAGCAGAAAAUGAAAAUGCAGCAAAUUCAUAAUUAAGGACUUGCUCAAGAAAUCUGAUGAGACCACCAGCAUCAGAUUUGACAGAAGACCUAUAAGGGUGAAAAAUCUCAAACAUUAUGUGACCUGCCCUGGCACAUCCAUUCUGCGGGAUCCAUCAAGGUUUUUAAAUGUUUCCUUAAGACUCACCUCUUCUCCCUGGCUUUUAAUCAAGAUUAAGUGGGCUUCUGGCAACAUUUUACUUAAAUUUAAUUUUAAUUAAAUUUUAAGUAAUUUUAUUCUAUUCUAUUCCAGUUUAUAGCACUGUGUUAUGUAUUUUACAGCACUUUGGUCAACCUCUGUUGUUUUAAAUGUGCUCUAUAAAUAAAGUUUGAGUUGA